CAUGCCAUCUUACUAUAGUUGGUAAAUGAGUGAGGAACUUUUUGUUAUUCUGAGUAAGAAAAUUUUGAUCACAUAGCUAGUAGUAACUAAAGAGAGUUCAGUUAGUUAUCUUAGUUAAGUUCAAUUUCUAAAUUUUAGUUAACUUAAAUUAAGCUCAAUUUUUAUUUUUGUUUCAGUUCAAUAAAACAGAAAUUGGAGGUUCAGAUAUGGCACCGAGAUAGGUUCAAAAAAAUGGGGGCAACAACAACGGCAGUAACAACAUCGAAGAGCUGGAGAUGAGCAAGUUAGGUACUCGCAAUGAUACGUCGUCCCACGCUGGUGUGUGGGUAGAGCGUCGGUGUGGUGGGGUGAGGAGAGAAGUUGGUGGUGGCAGAGGUGAGGGGAACCAGCGGCGCAGUGGUAGCAGCGGGAAGGGGGCGGUGGUGGAGGGACGGAGUGUCGCUCUGCAUGUUGGAGAGUAAACUGUAGUAGGACACCUCUGCCCCGCCGCCAACGCGCAUCCCCACCACUGUCGCCAACCUCACGCGCCGGCCUGCAUCCCCUCCCCACUCAUGGACGUCAAGUUCAGGUUGCAGCAAAAACAAGAUGCACAAGUUCAUCUUUUGUAUGCUUUUCAGUUCAUCUACUUUCGAUGGAGUGUUUUUGUUUCUGUAGGUCAGCUGCUCAACAUUCUUGUACCGCUCAGUACAUGUAUUACUACUGGGAAGGUUCAAAAAUCAGAACUCAACAAGUUCAACAUGGUGUAUGCCCCGACAUGAGAUCAUCGAGAGGGUGCACCACGGCGUCAUGGACUACAUCAAGCACGCGCUCACCCUCUUCACCGACUUUGCCGCCAUCCUCAUCAUCAUGAACGCAGGCGACAAUUUCGAGGACAAGAAGAAGAGGAGGAGGAGGUCCUGAGAGUGUCAUAUGUGCAUCUAUUUUUUUGUUUCAAAAGUAGAAGCGGAAGAUGUAGAGGGUGGACUACUCAGGGCGAUUGCUGCUGAUGUUGUGUUGUGUUAGGUCAGCAAGUAGUGCUAAAAUUAUUUUUCAGGAAGAGAAGGCAGCGAGAAGAUGUUCCAGGUGACACGCCCUUCCAUCAAAACAAAACGUUCAAACAUAGCAAGAAGUCGGCAGAAAAAGAUGUGAACAUAGUAUGAUGUCUUGUUUUUGUUAUUGUUACUCGAUGUCUCCAUUUCCUUUUUUCUCUUAAGUUUUCUUAUAGGGAAGGUUCUUGUAAUUACUAGUUGUUUGAUUGUGUGAUGCAGCCGCUUACUUGAUGUCAUUGUCAUUGUUCUUGUAGUUGCAUAUACGAAAGUGUGUGCUUGGUUUGGUUCCAUUUAUCUCUCUCUCUCUCUCUCAUGCCUUCCCUUUUGAUCUUAUAGGAACUGAGGCUAUUCCAAGGAACAAGACCGGUAACAACUAGCGCAAAGGAGACUAUGUCUAGAGGUGGCGCUGCUAGACUUGUUGAUGUGUAGUUAUGACAUAAAAAGCUGAAAAUUAUUGUAUAUUGUAUAAUUCCAUAAGCUGUACGUAGCAAAUCUGUCCAUGUGGAUCAGUACAACUUAUGUACAGCCUUAAAUUCACAAAUCUUAUAGUCAUCUUUGUAGUAUUCUUCAUGACACUUUGUAAAGCAAGAGUGGCCCAUUUUCUGUAAGCAACAAUUCAAACGUAUCUAUUGUAUCAGUUCUUAAGAUUAUAGAAGAAA